UUAAGCGACUAAGCGUACACGGUGGAUGCCCUGGCAGUCAGAGGCGAUGAAGGACGUGCUAAUCUGCGAAAAGCGUCGGUAAGGUGAUAUGAACCGUUAUAGCCGGCGAUGUCCGAAUGGGGAAACCCAGUGCAAUUCGUUGCACUAUCGUUUGAACUGAAUACAUAGGUCAAACGAGGCGAACCGGGGGAACUGAAACAUCUAAGUACCCCGAGGAAAAGAAAUCAACCGAGAUUCCCCCAGUAGCGGCGAGCGAACGGGGAGCAGCCCGGAGUCUGAAUCAGCUUGUGUGUUAGUGGAAGCGUCUGGAAAGUCGCAGGGUACAGGGUGAUACUCCCGUACACUAAAACGCACAGGUUGUGAACUCGAAGAGUAGGGCGGGACACGUGGUAUCCUGUCUGAAUAUGGGGGGGACCAUCCUCCAAGGCUAAAUACUCCUGACUGACCGAUAGUGAACCAGUACCGUGAGGGAAAGGCGAAAAGAACCCCGGCGAGGGGAGUGAAAAAGAACCUGAAACCGUGUACGUACAAGCAGUAGGAGCCUCUUUAUGGGGUGACUGCGUACCUUUUGUAUAAUGGGUCAGCGACUUAUAUUCUGUAGCAAGGUUAACCGUAUAGGGGAGCCGCAGGGAAACCGAGUCUUAACUGGGCGUUAAGUUGCAGGGUAUAGACCCGAAACCCGGUGAUCUAGCCAUGGGCAGGUUGAAGGUUGGGUAACACUAACUGGAGGACCGAACCGACUAAUGUUGAAAAAUUAGCGGAUGACUUGUGGCUGGGGGUGAAAGGCCAAUCAAACCGGGAGAUAGCUGGUUCUCCCCGAAAGCUAUUUAGGUAGCGCCUCGUGAAUUCAUCUUCGGGGGUAGAGCACUGUUUCGGCUAGGGGGUCAUCCCGACUUACCAACCCGAUGCAAACUACGAAUACCGAAGAAUGUUAUCACGGGAGACACACGGCGGGUGCUAACGUCCGUCGUGAAGAGGGAAACAACCCAGACCGCCAGCUAAGGUCCCAAAGUCAUGGUUAAGUGGGAAACGAUGUGGGAAGGCCCAGACAGCCAGGAUGUUGGCUUAGAAGCAGCCAUCAUUUAAAGAAAGCGUAAUAGCUCACUGGUCGAGUCGGCCUGCGCGGAAGAUGUAACGGGGCUAAACCAUGCACCGAAGCUGCGGCAGCGACACUAUGUGUUGUUGGGUACGGGGAGCGUUCUGUAAGCCGUUGAAGGUGGCCUGUGAGGGUUGCUGGAGGUAUCAGAAGUGCGAAUGCUGACAUAAGUAACGAUAAUGCGGGUGAAAAACCCGCACGCCGGAAGACCAAGGGUUCCUGUCCAACGUUAAUCGGGGCAGGGUGAGUCGACCCCUAAGGCGAGGCCGAAAGGCGUAGUCGAUGGGAAACAGGUUAAUAUUCCUGUACUCGGUGUUACUGCGAAGGGGGGACGGAGAAGGCUAUGUUGGCCGGGCGACGGUUGUCCCGGUUUAAGCAUGUAGGCGGAUGUUCCAGGUAAAUCCGGAACGUUAUUAACGCUGAGGUGUGAUGACGAGGCACUACGGUGCUGAAGUGACAAAUGCCCUGCUUCCAGGAAAAGCCUCUAAGCAUCAGGUAACAUCAAAUCGUACCCCAAACCGACACAGGUGGUCAGGUAGAGAAUACCAAGGCGCUUGAGAGAACUCGGGUGAAGGAACUAGGCAAAAUGGUGCCGUAACUUCGGGAGAAGGCACGCUGAUAUGUAGGUGAAGUGGUUUACCCAUGGAGCUGAAAUCAGUCGAAGAUACCAGCUGGCUGCAACUGUUUAUUAAAAACACAGCACUGUGCAAACACGAAAGUGGACGUAUACGGUGUGACGCCUGCCCGGUGCCGGAAGGUUAAUUGAUGGGGUUAUCCGUAAGGAGAAGCUCUUGAUCGAAGCCCCGGUAAACGGCGGCCGUAACUAUAACGGUCCUAAGGUAGCGAAAUUCCUUGUCGGGUAAGUUCCGACCUGCACGAAUGGCGUAAUGAUGGCCAGGCUGUCUCCACCCGAGACUCAGUGAAAUUGAACUCGCUGUGAAGAUGCAGUGUACCCGCGGCAAGACGGAAAGACCCCGUGAACCUUUACUAUAGCUUGACACUGAACACUGGUCCUUGAUGUGUAGGAUAGGUGGGAGGCUUUGAAGCGUGGACGCCAGUCUGCGUGGAGCCAUCCUUGAAAUACCACCCUUUAAUGGCUGGUGUUCUAACGUGGGCCCGUUAUCCGGGUUGCGGACAGUGUCUGGUGGGUAGUUUGACUGGGGCGGUCUCCUCCUAAAGAGUAACGGAGGAGCACGAAGGUCAGCUAAUCCUGGUCGGACAUCAGGAGGUUAGUGCAAUGGCAUAAGCUGGCUUGACUGCGAGCGUGACGGCGCGAGCAGGUGCGAAAGCAGGUCAUAGUGAUCCGGUGGUUCUGAAUGGAAGGGCCAUCGCUCAACGGAUAAAAGGUACUCCGGGGAUAACAGGCUGAUACCGCCCAAGAGUUCAUAUCGACGGCGGUGUUUGGCACCUCGAUGUCGGCUCAUCACAUCCUGGGGCUGAAGUAGGUCCCAAGGGUAUGGCUGUUCGCCAUUUAAAGUGGUACGCGAGCUGGGUUUAGAACGUCGUGAGACAGUUCGGUCCCUAUCUGCCGUGGGCGCUGGAGAAUUGAGGGGGGCUGCUCCUAGUACGAGAGGACCGGAGUGGACGCAUCACUGGUGUUCGGGUUGUCAUGCCAAUGGCAUUGCCCGGUAGCUAAAUGCGGAAGAGAUAAGUGCUGAAAGCAUCUAAGCACGAAACUUGCCCCGAGAUGAGUUCUCCCUGACUCCUUGAGAGUCCUGAAGGAACGUUGAAGACGACGACGUUGAUAGGCCGGGUGUGUAAGCGCAGCGAUGCGUUGAGCUAACCGGUACUAAUGAACCGUGAGGCUUAACCUU
rnacentral:rRNA from 1 species